GAACCUGUGAAAGGAUCAUUG
rnacentral:rRNA from 1 species